GCCCCAGGACCUGCUGUAUUGGAGGUUGCGGGCUCUGGCUGACUACGAGGAUGCCGACAAGGCCCUGGACAAGGCUCGAACCCGGCACCGAGAGGUGCGCUCAGCCGAGAAGCACCAGCAGCUGUGCUGUGAGCGCUUUGAACGCCUGACUCGGCCAAGCAGGCUCCUGGAUUUCAGGGCCCAGCGCAUCUCCUUCCGCAAGAAUCUCGUGGAGCUGGUGGAGCUGGAGCUCCAGCACGCCCGGCUGAAAAACCAGCCCUCACCCCCAGGCGACGUUUGAGACGUUUUUGAUUGUUGGCUAAGAGAGGCAGCAAAAUCCCGCACUCAGCCAGCUGGGAGAGCCGGCGGCUACGCUGGCAGAGGCCUGGCCCAGCCAACACCCACCUGGUUAAACACAGAGAGCCGAUUGGAGCCAACACCUGUACCUGAAGUCCUAGGCUCUACCGACAGGCUGCCCUGAAUGGACUUCAGACACGUGUGCAAGAGGCCAAAGGUUCAAGCCGACUCUUGACAGGGCAUCAGCCUUCCCUCAGGAGCCAGCCAAGCGGUUCUGCAGGGAAGAGUAUCACUGAGAUGCUCAAGUCUGGGUCUGAAUGAACUACAGGAAGGAGCAGCUCAGGCAGAGAACUGGGGGCGACGGGCACAUGGCUCAGCUGCCUCCGGGCGUGGGGUUCCCAGUGUGGUGCCUCCGGUCACCAGAGCAGCAGGUGUCAAGCAACGUGUGACCUGCUGGGGUCAGAUGAGCUGAGGGGUUGGAGAUGGGUCUGGAGCGGCCAAACUACUCACCCCCAACCCUGAAAAUAAACAUCCCAUCACCGA